CAGCCGCCGCGGUAAUACGGAGGGUGCAAGCGUUAUCCGGAAUCACUGGGCUUAAAGGGUACGUGGGCGGUUUUAUAAGUCAGGUGUGAAAUACCGCGGCCUAACUGCGGAACUGCACUUGAUACUGUAAAACUUGAGUAGGGUGGAGGUACACGGAAUGCAUCAUGUAGCGGUGAAAUGCUUAGAUAUGAUGUAGAACACCGAUAGCGAAGGCAGUGUGCCAUACCUUAACUGACGCUGAGGUACGAAAGCGUGGGGAGCGAACAGGAUUAGAUACCCUGGUAGUCCACGCCCUAAACGAUGCUAACUGGACAUUUGGCCGCAUUAGGUUAGGAGUCUGAGGGAAACCAUUAAGUUAGCCACCUGGGGAGUACGUUCGCAAGAAUGAAACUUAAAUGAAUUGACGG
rnacentral:rRNA from 1 species